AGGAAAAGAAACCAACAGGGAUUGCCCUAGUAACGGCGAGUGAAGCGGCAACAGCUCAAAUUUGAAAUCUGGCGCAAGCCCGAGUUGUAAUUUGUAGAGGAUGCUUCUAGGUAGCGACCGGUCUAAGUUCCUUGGAACAGGACGUCAUAGAGGGUGAGAAUCCCGUAUGUGACCGGCCCGCACCUUCUACGUAGCUCCUUCGACGAGUCGAGUUGUUUGGGAAUGCAGCUCUAAAUGGGAGGUAAAUUUCUUCUAAAGCUAAAUACCGGCCAGAGACCGAUAGCGCACAAGUAGAGUGAUCGAAAGAUGAAAAGCACUUUGGAAAGAGAGUUAAAAAGCACGUGAAAUUGUUGAAAGGGAAGCGCUUACAACCAGACUUCUGGGCGGUGUUCCGCCGGUCUUUUGACCGGUCUACUCGCCGUCCCGAGGCCAACAUCAUCUGGGACCGCUGGAUAAGACCUCAGGAAUGUAGCUUCCCUCGGGAAGUGUUAUAGCCUGUGGUGAUGCAGCGCGUCUCGGGUGAGGUCCGCGCUUCGGCAAGGAUGUUGGCGUAAUGGUUGUCAGCGGCCCGUCUUGAAACACGGACCAAGGAGUCUAACAUCUAUGCGAGUGUUCGGGUGUCAAACCCCUACGCGUAAUGAAAGUGAACGGAGGUGGGAAGCGUAAGCUGCACCAUCGACCGAUCCUGAUGUCCUCGGAUGGAUUUGAGUAAGAGCAUAGCUGUUGGGACCCGAAAGAUGGUGAACUAUGCCUGAAUAGGGUGAAGCCAGAGGAAACUCUGGUGGAGGCUCGCAGCGGUUCUGACGUGCAAAUCGAUCGUCAAAUUUGGGUAUAGGGGCGAAAGACUAAUC
rnacentral:rRNA from 5 species